rnacentral:rRNA from 1 species
ACAGCAGCAGCCGCGGUAAUACGAAGGGUGCAAGCGUUAAUCGGAAAUACUGGGCGUAAAGCGUGCGUAGGCGGUGAGUUAAGUCUGCUGUGAAAUCCCCGGGCUCAACCUGGGAAUGGCAGUGGAUACUGGCUCGCUAGAGUGUGUCAGAGGAUGGUGGAAUUCCCGGUGUAGCGGUGAAAUGCGUAGAGAUCGGGAGGAACAUCAGUGGCGAAGGCGGCUAUCUGGGCCAACACUGACACUGAGGCACGAAAGCGUGGGGAGCAAACAGGAUUAGAUACCCCCGUAGUCCCUGUCUCUUAUAA